rnacentral:lncRNA from 1 species
GUUCAGUAAGAUAAUAUAAUAAACCAAUCACAUUGAUUUGCCUAAUUCUAUACUUUAUAUUAUUUCAACCAUUUUUCCAUUUCAGGAGAUAGAGAAUGGAUCCCAGAAAGUAGCUUAAGUGUACAUGCUAAUAAUGCAGUUGCCUGUGGUCUUGUGCAGAGUUUCCAGUCUCUUUCAUCAAGUGUAUACAAGCAAAAAAAGGGUAAGGCUGGAUACAAGGUAGCGAUGCCAUCUUUGUGGGUCAUUUUAUUUUAUUUUUUUUAUUUUUAUUUUUUUUAAAGAGAGAGAGAGAGAGAGAGUUAGUUUUUUAAUAUUUAUUUUUCAGUUCUCGGCGGACACAACAUCUUUGUUUGUAUGUGGUGCUAAGGAUCGAACCCGGGCAGUGCGCAUGCCAGGCGAUUGCGCUACCACUUGAGCCACAUCCCCAGCCCUGUGGGUCAUUUUAUUUAGUAUUUUUUUUUCUCAGCAGUUUACUAGGCACCUGAAUAUUAGAUUUUGCAAUUAUAAUUAUUUUAACUAAAUGUCCUAGAAUUUUUCUUCCAAAAAAACCAAACCAGACCAAACCAAACCAAACUAAAACAUUGAGUAAGUAAGUAUACAUAUUAUUUCUCUCAAAAUCAUGAAUUCUAGUCUUAGCUGUUUUCUGCAACAAUGUGUUAGAUAACACUAUUUGCAACUUGCAGCUUAAGAUAGUCUAUCCUGAGUGAUCCUUAUAAAAUACACACUGAAUUUCAUAAUGCACUCAGGAAGCAGUAUAUUCAUACCAGAUUUCUUGUACUCUUGAUUGGAUUUAGCCAUAUGUAAAACAAAUGUCCUAGAUUAAGAUUAUUCCUUAGAACUGGUUUUGCAAGUUGUUUGGUUCUAAUAAUUGCUGUAUGUGUUAUCCAUGGGAUUUUGAUUUCAAAAUGAUUUCAUGGUUUUUACAUAAGAUAAUUUUGACAUAUCGAAUGAUCAUUGUAAUAUUUUCCUAAUGUGUGCAUCACUAGCAUUAUUAUGUCAUUUCUGUUAUUCAUUUACACAUGCUUAAAGUAUGUUUGCUUUACUCUGUACUUGGCAUAAAGUUGCAGUAGAUAACUCAUGAAUUAAGGCAAUUCAAUGCACUGGUGUUGAGUAUGUGAACACUAUGCUAGGUCCUGGGAAUUAAGGGAUACCUAAGUCCUCCUGAUAGACCUUAGGGAGCUUACAAUUGAGGAGGAAUCCUUGACACAGUGAGCUAAUUGCCUUGGUUUAAAGACUCUCUUAAAACCUGAUAUUUAAUUACAUAUGAUUUGUUCACGUAUGUAAGAUUUAUAUGGCUCUCUUGCCCGAAACCCUAUGAUUAAAUCUCUUGGCUAGCUGAGAUUCCUUCAAUAUGCAUUUAUGUUGAGAAUCUGUCAGUUAUAAAUGUUUUUUAGAAGAAAAACCAUCCAGUUAUGAUAAAAAAAAUUUUGGCUCUAUAAUUAGGUACCUAUUCUCACAUCAAAUUCCAGAGAAGCUUCAAAAAUUCUGGUAACUUCUAUCUGAGGCAAUCAGAAGGAACUGUUUUAAGUCACUAUAUUGAUAAAAAUAAAUUCAUAAUGCAUGCUAUGAAAAAUUUGUUACUAAGACAAAUUUUUAAUAAAUAGCCAAAUACUUUUAAGUAUUUAUAAGUAUUUAAGUAUCAAUUUGGGCAGAUCAGUGUGUGUCAAUAAUUUGCUAUGAAAAUCCUGGUGAUACCCUUGUCUCUAUGGCCUGAGAUUCUCCAACCUCAAAGUGAGCAUAAUCAACUGGGAAACAGAUGUAAUGCUGAUUUCUGUAUCUCACUCUUAGUGAUUCUGAUUCAUUUAGGCUGAGGUAAGGCCCUCAAAUUUGAAUUUAUCAACAAUUAAUUGUAAUGCUGAUAUAGAUACUUCAAAAUUUAUAUUUUGAGAAACAGUUGUAUAAAUAUGUAAAUGCAUAAGUGAUAAAUUUAUAAAAAGUAUGAAUAAUGUAAUUUUUUGAAAUUGAUAGGUAAUUAAUGAUAGCACAUACUGUCAGUAAUAAUAUAUAUUUGCAUUUUAUUUAGGAAUAGAGAUGAUGAAUAAUGACUGUCACUGAAAAUAUAGAUAUGCAAGAUGUUAGAGAGUAUGUGACAUUUUAGUUAAGUCUUUAAAAAGUAAUAACAUUUAUCAGUGAGGGGAGUUGCAAAAUGCCUUUCUGGACAGAGGUAGUAGCCUGAAAUAAAAUAAAAUGUUCCGGAAAUAUUGCAAGUUAUAGAAAUCUUAUAUUCUGAACUGAUGCCAGCAUAGAAAGGGAUUCCAAUUUUUCUAAGAUUUUAAAAUUUGUGACUAUAUAUACAUUGUAAUACUUAUGUGAUUAGCAACAAGUACAUUGAUACUCUGCACCCCCUGCUAAAAGUUACUCCUCUUCCACCCCAUCUUCCUGUCUCUGUAUAUAGCAAGGGCACCCAAACCUUGAUCAGGCCUGAAACCUAGGAGUCACCUUGAGUGGCUGCAGCUUAUUCAUAGGCAAAUCCUGCUGAUUUCAGCUCCAAAAGCCAGCACAAACCUAAACACUUCCAUCUUCACUGCUCAAGAUAAGCCCAAGCCAGUUGCCUGUCAUCUCUCACUUGUCUCCCAAUUUCAUUUUUACCCCUUCCCAAACCAUCUUACUAUGAUUUCUUCUCAUCAAAUUCUACUGUUUGUAGUCAGUGAGUAAAUUGUUUAUCCUUACAGUCAUAAAAUUAUUUAUAUUUAUAGUUUGUAGGAAGUGAAACAUACUUUCAAUAAAUUUAAAACUUAAAUAGCAUCACAUGAUUUUCCUGCCUAAAAGUAUUCCAAAACUUCCCAAGAAAGGUAGAAAAAAAUUAUAUUCAUUCUACGCAUCACACAGCAAUAUAUGAGUUGGUUACCCUUCUCUCCUAACUGCAUAUUUUCUACCCUGUAGCCAAGCGGAUCCUCUCUGUUCUUAGGUAGGUCAUGCCUUUCUUAGUAUAUUCUAAAAUAUGCUUGUCCAGGAUGCUCUGCUGCAACCUUUCACUCCAUCCUUGGACCUUUCUUCAUAUGACUGGUUCUUUCACCAGUCUUAGUCCCGAUUUUACCUCCUUAGAUAGGGCUUUCAGUACGCUAUUUAACUCUAGUCUCUUGAGUCCUUCUAUUCUUUCUCAUAGAACAUAUCACAGACAUUAUCUUAUUUGUAGGGUUUUCUGCUAUCCCCACCUUGCUUAGAAAAAAAGCAAGGACUAGCUAGUCUUCUUGUUAGUGUGCCUUCAAUGUAGAAUGGGGGCUAGAACCUUGUAAGUCUUCAGUGUGUAUUUCUGAAAGAGGGAAAUAGGAUAGAAAGCAUGAGUAUUCAUUUGGAAUGAAAUUUGAGGGUAGGGGUAAUGUCUCAUUCACUUUGAAUACCCUGAAUUAAUUAACUCAAAGAAUUAAUUAACGAUUUUAUAAUUGACUCAGGCUGAGCAUUAAUUCACAAGUUCUCAGAGUUUAAGGAGAUUUAAGACAUUAUACUGUUUUAUUCCUUAAUUUUAUAGGUGUGAUAUGGAUUACUAUCUGUGUCUAGGUCAUAAGCUGAUUUCUAAUUCAGUGAGAUGUGACAAUGAUGUUCUUAGCUCCUUAGCUUAGCAUUUUUUUUCAACUAAGCCAAUACUACUCAAUAAAAUUUCCUUAUAUUUUCUAGAACUCUUAGAAAUUGAAUUUCUGUUUGUUUGUUUGUUUGUUUGUUUUUUAAUGUAUGAACGCUCAGCAGUUUACAUAAUGGAACAAGAAUGUCAAUGGACAAUGUUUUGCCAACUUUAUUCAGGCUUAAAAUAAUGUGUCCUUUGACAUAUUUAGUAACAUAUUUUGGUAGCAUAUUUAGUAACAUAUAAUUAUUUGUUACUAAAAUGCUACCCCAAAAGCCUGUUGAUAUGUGUUUUAUCAAGUUCUAAUGUUAUAUUUAGAAUUGCAAUAAUAAAGUGCCGUAUUAAAUACUAUUCAAGGAGUGAUUCCUAUUUUAUAUCUAUCUGUAUUUUUAUGCCCAUUAACUAAUACCACUGUAUUUCAUCUCAUCAAUAUUCAGCAUAGUUUAAUUGGUAAUCAUGGGACAUAUAUUCUUUAGCUAACACCGAGAAAAAUUAAUUUUGUUUUAUUUGUGGUUAGCUGAGAUUGGCAUGAAUCAUUUUUUAGAUUAUAUUGCCCAUGAUGGCACAAGUUUCUCUAAAAGUAAUUUCUUAUGUUUGUAAUCUACAAAGUAGGCUAUUUUUUAUUAUGGAAUGAUUGCCUCAACAGUGGCAUUUUUCAUUAAUGCCAGUCAAUGUGUCAAUCCUUAACCAUAGCAAUAAUAUUAAUAAGCUUGCAAAUUAAAUACUAGAAAGAAUGACAUGUUUUCCUAAAUGAACAAUAAGUAAACAAAAUCAACAACCAAAUUGGGACUCCUUCUAUCUCAUCCUGUGAUUUGGUUACUUUAAAUUACCCUUGAACAUAUUUCCAGUAAGAAAUAUGGUCUGUCUAUUUGCUGUGUGUUAAGCAUAAGUCUGACCCAUCCCCUGUGUACCUUUUCUCUCUUUUGGGAACAAUUAGCUUCAAAUACUGUGGCAACCAGAUGUUGUUGUAAGAAUUCAGCAAGUGUUGUGCUCUCCUGAGUUUUCUGAAGGGCAUCUACAUUAUUUUAAAUUAUUCUAACUUCAUAUUUUUCUGAGAUGGAAGAAGUCCAGUUCUUACUAAUAGUAUCAUCUUUUUGUUUGUUUUAUUUUAAUAAGAGUACUAAAUUUCUUCAAGUUUUACCUUGACUGAGAAAUAUUAUAAUACAGGAGAAGAGUGUGGUUUACCCAUACUCCCAGGUCCUCUGAGUUCUGUAUAAAUUUCCUCUGGUACCCACUGGCUUCCAUAUAAGAGCGACAAGCUUGCAUGAUGGCUGUGAACGAAAUAUCCAUUCUUUGCAAUAUAGCACAUAAAAGAGGAAACCACUUCUAAAUUCAAGUCAUUAAAAUAAUUCUUUAGAAUAUUUAUAUACAUACAUAUAUUUUAAACAUAUUUUUUAUUAGUUAUUUUUCUUCAGAAUUGUUUCUGAGCACAAACACACACAAAAGGGCCAGAAGCUUAUUUUAAUUUAUUCCUAAUUUUAUUCCCACAAAAAAUAUUUUAAAAAUUAAUUUCUUCAAUGUUCAUUAAAAUUGGUGCCCUUUGGAACUUAACCUCACUCAGCUUUAAUUGCUUAAACAAUUACAUACUGCAACCAAAUGCUUCUUAAGGUUAGCUACAUUCAAAGUAAGUUUUUCCAGCUAAGGAAAAAGAAGAUGAACUCAAUAGUCAUUAAAUGUUUUAUAUAGGAUGACUGAAUGUAGCCACUUUUUUGAAUUUUGCAUUUUUCUUUGAAUCAACAAGAGUGGGCGUAAUGUUACAUAGCAUAUGUUCAGUCAAAUCAUGUUUUUCAUGAGAAUGACAAUUGCACUUCUUUAAAAAAUCUAAUAUUUUACACAAAGCCAGUUUGUGUUAAGAGAAUGCAAAAUGAUUACCAUAAAUAUGUUAAUAAAUAAAUGUAUUUAUGUUUACUAUGAAUAUAUUUCUAAAUCAGAAAAAUAAUUUAGUACAUUUAAAAAUUUACCGAUGCUGUGAAUUUUUUAAAUCUGUUCUUGAAAAUUCCCUUGGCCUUUAUUAAAGAGUAUUUUGUGAGAAAUACAAAAUUACAAAUUAGUUAUGUUGCAUAGGAUUUGAAAGGAUUCUUUUCCCUACUAUUAAAAACAAAAGCAAAAUGACAUCAACAAAAAAUGCUUAGUGUUGAAGUAACCAACUAAACCAAACUUUUGAACAGAUAAAAGAGUGGUCAUCUUAGUUGAAUAAAGUAGUAACCUGACUUAGGUCUGUGCUUCUGGAAUUUGUAAACUAAAGUACCCUAUAAGGCAAUGGAAAGUGAACUGUCAGAAUACAGAGAAAAAAGCACAUCGGAGAUACAGGUCAGACUUAGUACACAGCAAACAGAUCAGACUUCUUAUAGGAAAAUUAUAGAUGUGAUCUCACUUAGUUUAAAAACUGUGUUUUUCUAAAAUUUCACACAGAUUUUGUAUAUUAGACUGUUUAAUCUCCAUAUUUUUAAAUAAAAGAAUAGAUUACACACUGUCAAUACAAUUGAUUCACUAGGAAGUGGCCUCAUGUUCAUCGUAGAGGUUGUUUUCUCUUGUGAGAUACAUACUUGAAUUUGGGAUGGACUAAAAGAUUGUGUGUUGUGCUGGUCUGAAGUUGACUUGUUUUAUAGAUAUUUUGCUUUAGUGAUAGUGAAAUCAAUUUGCUUCUAAAUAUUAAAAAAUAGGGAAAAUACUCAGAAGGUUUUUUUUUUUUUUUUUUGGUCUUUGUGACAGGGGAUGAAAAUCAACAGUCAGUUUUCGCAUAAUAUUUGAAAUCCAUUUUUUGUUUGUUCAUUUUGUUUUGGUCUUGGGUUUGAGCCCAGGGUCUUGCCUCAUGCCAGGUAUGUGUUCUACCAUUGAGCUAUAUCCUGAGCCUGAUUUUCUCAUAAAAUUUGUUGCAUUAUAUUCACUGCUCUGUCUUCAGGAAGCUGGUAUUUUAUAUUGCAAAAUACUCAAAAUUUUAAAAACAGUUGAUUGGAUUCUUUUUCUUUUUGUUUUAGGCCAGAAGUCACAGAGACCUUCAACAGCAAAUUUACCACUUUCCAACUCUGUUAAAAACAGCUCCAACUGCCUUUCAUCCUCUCAGCCUCGACCAAGAAGUGCAGCUGUUCCAUCAUUAUCUAGAGCUGCUUCGGAAAUUUUAGAAAUUGAAUAUAUUGAUAUUACUGGCCAGAAUGAACCUUUCUUAGAUAACACAGCUGAUCAACAAACUUUAGAGAGUUUGGAAAAAGAAUUAGAUGUGCUGAGAAAUCAUGCAGGUAAUGCUUUUUUUUUUUUUCUUCACUCUAGAUAAUGUUAACUUUGUCCUCUGUUACAUUCUUCACCUUAUUCUUAAAAAGAAGCAAGCAAAACAGGUCUUUCCUUUCUUUCUUCAGCUAUCAACUUUGGAUACAUCUUGCUAACACCCUGAAAAAGUUCUAAAAUGCAUUGCUGCCCAGUCACAACAGAGAUGGUCCCCUAGCAAACCAAGUGCACAGCCAAAUUGUGGCAUAAGGAUCUCUGUGUAUUCAGAAAAAUCAAAACCAAUACUAGACAUAUUUCUCUUUCUACAAACCCAGUGAAGGUUUAAUCACUCUAGCUUUAAGUAAAACUGUUGUCCAAUACCCUUGUUGAAAAUUGAGCCUGUUAGAACUUUUAAAGCAGUGCUUCUGUAGCUUUAAAGUAUUCAUAGAUGCCCCAGGGGAUCUUGUUAAAAUGCAGAUUCUGAUUGAGUCCUCAUUUCUGGGAUGGGACCUGAGAUUUUUCACAUCUAACAAGUACCCAGAUGAUGCCAAUUUUGCUCUUUAGCAAACCACAAUUUGAGGAGAAAUUUUACUUGUGCUCUCUGUUUGCAACCUCAAUGGGGAUAGUCUUGCCAAUGGUGACCACAUUCUUGAAUGUGCAAAGGUCUGGUUGAAUAACAAAAUAUCAAAAUAUCCUCUUAUUUUCAUCAGAAGGUCAUUCACACAAUUUGAAGGAAGUCAACCGCAGGUCCAAAAGGUAGGCUAAAAUAUUCUGUGGUCCUGUGUGUUCUACAUUUGCUCUUCUCUUUGUUUCUGUUUUUGUUUUAUCCUAUUUAAUGAUCUCUUUCCUUACUUACCUUUGAAAAACAACCUUGCUGUUUUUCUGAAAAAGAUAUAUCAGCAUUUGAAAACUGUAAGCAAUAAAAAAUACAAAAAGAAAGCUAAAACACCCAAAAAACUCACUACUCUUUAUUAUAAUUAAUACAUACUAGUUGUGCAAAUUGAUAGGAUUUACUGUCAUAAUAUUUCCUUACAUGCAUAUAUCACCCAUCGAUUGUACCCAUUGAUUGAACCCCAUCGAGGUUCCUCUAUCCUCCCUAUACUCCUAUUUUACCAUCUUUCCCAACUUCCUUAGCCCUCUUCCCAGUACCUUGUAGUACCUCUUCUGCUUUUAGGACUUUUUGUUUAUUUGUUUCUGUGUAUGAAAGAAAACAUGCAAUAAUUGUCUUUCAGUGUCUGGCUUCUUUUGCUUAACAUGCUAUUUUUCCUCUUCCACUUAAAUGUCCAGAUAUCAUUCUUCAUAUGAUGGAGUAAUUCCUAGGUGCUGUUGUGAAUGGUGCUAUAAUAAACAUGGUUGUUCGGGAAUUUUUGUUUGUGCUGAUUUCAUUUUUCUUUGGAUAUCUAUCCAGAAAUGGAAUAGCUGGAUCAUAUAUGGUAGCUCUGUUUUUAGUUUUUUGAGAAACCUUCAUAUGUUUUUAGCAAUGGCUGUAAUGAAUUACAAUCCCAACAGUGUGUAUAAGCAUUCUUUUUCCUCACAUCCUGGCCAGUAUUUGUUAUUUGUUACUUUUUUAUAUAAUAAUCAUUUUAACUGGGGUAAGAUAGAAUCUCAUUGUAGUUCCAUUUGCAUUUCCCUGAUGGCUAAAGAUAUUGAGUCAUCCUUUCAUGUAUUUGUCAUUGGUAUCUCUUCUUUUGAGAUGUGUCUAUAUCAUUUGAGAUUGUCUUGUUUUUUUGAUUUUGAUAUUAAGUAUUUUCAGUUCUUAAUAUAUUAUAGAUAUUAAUCUUCUGCCAGACAAAGAGCUGGCAAAUAUUUACUCAUAUUCUGUAGGUUGUCUCUUCAAUCUGUGGAUUAUUUCCUUUGCUAUACAGUAGUUUUAAAAUUUGAUGUAAUACCAUUUGUCAUCCUUUGCCUUUGUUUACUGUGCUUUUGGAGUUCUAGCCAGGAAACAAUAGCCUGAACCAGUAUCUAGAAAUUUAUUCCCUAGUAUGUUCCUCUAGAAGUUUCAGAACUCAGAUCUUACAGAACUACCUUUGAUCCAUUUUGACUGAUCUUUGUACAGGGUGAGAGAUUGACCCCAUAGGUCAAUUUUCAAUCUUCUAUAUGUGGGUAUCAGUUUUCCCCAUACCAUUGGUUGGAGAUCUUUUUUCUAUUAUAUGUUUUUAGUAGCUUUGUCAAGAUUAAGUUAGUUGGUUGUUGAUAUGUGAGUUUAUUUCUGAGUUCUCUACUGAGUUCCAUUGGUCCAUGUAUCUGCUUUUUGUGCCAGUAUCAUGUUGUUUUUGUUACUGUGGAUUGUGAAAUCAGGUGUUGUGAUACUUCCAGCAUUGCAAUUUUUGCUAAAGAUUACUUUGGCUAUUCAUUUAUUUCUACUUCUGUAUGAACUUAUGAUUGUGUUUUUCUAGUUCUGCAAAAAAUGCCUUUGGAAUUUUGAUAGGGAUUGCAUUGAAUCUGUAGAGCACUUUGGGUAGUGUGGAUGUUUUAACAGUAUUAAUUCUCUCAACCCAUGAACAUGGGAGGUUUUCAGUCUUUUAAUAUCUUCUUCAAUUUCUUCAGUAUUUUAAAAAUUUUCAUUGUAGAGGUCUUUCACAUCCUCAGGUUUAUUCUGAAGUGUGUGUGUGUGUAUGUGUGUGUAUUUUGCAGAGAUUGAACCCCCAGGAGUACUCUAGUAUUGAGCUACACCAUUAGCACUUUUUAUUUUUUAUUUUGAGACCAGGUCUUACUACGUUGCUGAGACUAGCCUCCAGUUAGAUAAUGUUAAUAAUAGAUAAUGUUAGCCUUAUGAAUCACUAGGAUUAUAGGUGUGCCCCACUAUGCCUGGCUUAUUUAUUUAUUUGUGGUUAUUUUGAAUAUGAUUGCUUUCCUGAUUUCUUUCUCAGUGAGUUCAUUAUUGGUAUAUAGGCAAGAUAUUGGUUGUGUAUGUUGCUAUUGUAUCCUGAUAGUUUACCAAUUUGUUUCUCAUUUCUGAGAGUAUUGGUGUAGAGUAUUUAGGUUUUCCUAAAACCUAAUAUAAAGUCACAUUAUCUCAAACAGGGAUAAUUUAACUUCCUCUGUAUGUAUGCCUUCUUUUCUUUCUUUUAAGUGAUUAUUUUGGCUAAAAUUUCUAGUACUCUAUUGAAUAAGAGUGCUGAAAAUGGACACCAUUAUCUCAUUCCUGGUUUUAGUGGAAAUGGUUUCAGUUUUUUCCUGUUGAGUAUGAUCAUGCAUAGCAUUUAUUAUGCAGAGGUAUUUUCCUUCUAUAGCUAAUUCAUUCAGGACUUUUAUCAUGAAGAAAUGUUGAAUUUUAUCAAAUGCUUUUUCUGUAUCUAUUGGGAAAAUGAGGUGAUAUAUAUCAUUAAUUCAAUUCAUGUGCUGCAUUAAGUUUAUUGAUUUGCAUUAAACCAUCCUUGUAGCCCUGGAAUAGAAAACAAUUGAUCAUAGUGUAUGGUCUUUUUAAUGUGCUAUGAAUUCAACUUACAAAUAUUUUGUUGAUGAUUUUUGUAUUUAUGUUUAUUAGAAAUAUCAUUUUACAAUUAAUUUCUUUUAAAAAAAAAAUUCCUUUCCCUUCCUUUCUUCCUUUCUUUUGUUGGCCUUGUCAGGUUUGAGUCAUACUUUUAUAACAUUGAAUUUGGUUUCUUACCUUCCUAUUUAAUGUAGUAGUUUGAGGGGCAUUGAUAUUUGUUCUUUAUUUAAAAGUUUGGUAAUAUUCAGCAAAGAAGAAAUUCAAUCUUGUUUGGGGGACUUUUUAUUACUGAUUCUAUCUCAUUACUUGUUAGUGGUCUAUUUAUUUAGCCUUUUAAAAUAUUCUUUUCACUCAAUUUUAGUGGGUUAUGUAUGUCCAGAAAUUUGUCUAUAUUUUUUAUUUUACAAUUUAUUACUAUAUAGUUUUUCAAAAUAUUCCUUGUUGAUCCUUUGAAUUUCAGUGAUAUCCAUAGUAAUGUCUCAUUUUUUCACCUCUAAUUUUAUUUAUUUGGCUAUUUUUUUCUUUCUUUUUGUUUGUUUAGCUAAAAGUUUAUAAAUUUUAUCUUUUCAAAGAUUUAACUCAGUUUCAUUUUUAUUGUUCUCUUAGUCUCCAUUUCAUUUAUUUGUGCUCUGAUUUUUAUAAUUUUUUUCUUCUACUGAUAUGGGGGUUUUGUUUUCCUUAUUUUUCAAAAAACUUUGAGAGUCAUCAUUUGGUUAUGUACUCAAAAUAUUUUUUUUUAUGUAAACACUCAUUGUCAUAAACUUUCCACUUGGUGCAGCUGCUUAUAUGGUGCAGCUGCUUAUAUUGUAUCCCACAGAUAUUUGUAUGUUGUGUUUCCAUUGUCAGUUCAUUCAAAGAAUUUUUAAAUUUCCCUUCUGACUUCCUCAGUGACCCAUUGUUCAAAAGUGUGUUGUACAAUUUUAAUAUGUUUUUGUAUAAUUUCUACAGUUACUGUUGCUCUUGAUUUCUACUUUAAUUUCAUUGUGAUCAGAGAAAACACAGGAUAUUUUUCAAUAUUUUUGGAGGUUGUUAAAACUUGCUUUGUCCCUUAAUAUAUGGCCUAUUCUAGAAAAAUUUCUGUGUUCCUAUGAAAAGAAUAUGUAUUCUCUAGCCAUUGAGUGAUAUAUUCUGUAAAUGUCUGUUAAGUCCAUUUUAUUUAUAGUAUAAUUAAUUCUUGUUACUUUGUUGAUUUUUGUUUGGAUGAUCUAUCCAUUGCUCAUAGAAAGUUAUUGAAUUCACCCGUUAUUAUUGUAUUGAGACCUAUUUUUUCUUUUAAUGUCUUGAUAGCAUUUAUAAUUUACAAAAUGUGGUGCUCCAAACUUUGGCAUAAAUAAAUUUAUAAUUAUUAUAUCUUCUUGAUUAAUUAAUCCCUUGAUCAAUUGCAUUUAUGUUUACCAGAAAUAUCAUUUUAAAAUUCAUUUUUAUUAUUCAUUUUUAUUAAUUUAUUAAUUAUUUUUUAUUAAUUUAUUUUAGUUAUAUAUGGUUUAUAUAGUUAUAUAUAUUAUAUAUUAUAUAUGUAUAUAUAUAUGUAUAUAUAUAUAUAUAUAUAUACAUACAUACAUAUAUAUUAUAUAUAGUCAUUUGGACAUAAUAAGAAAAACAUGAUAUAUAGUUUGCUCUAGUUUAGUCCCUAGUACUUCCCUUUUCCCAAUCCUCAUCCUCCUAUAUAUUCCCUUUAGUGGGAUUGAUUUUUUAACAUGUUCUUAUCUUGGUGAAUAUCUCUCUUGUCUCUUUAGGUUUAGGAUUUCCUUAAGCAUCUUUUGCAAUUCUUGUCUAGUGGUCUUGAAUUCUACUUGUUUAUGUUUAUCACAGAAAGUCUUUAUUUCAUCUUCAAUUCUGAAGGAUAGCCUUGCUGGGUAUAAUAGUCAUUUUGGUUUGCAGUUAUUUUCUUUCAGGACAUGAAAUACAUUAUUCCUUGUUUUACUAGCCUUUAAGGUUCCUACUAAGAAAACUUCUGUUAAUUUAAUGGGCUUAUUUUUACAUAUGACUUGAUGUUUCUAUCUUUUAGCUUUUCUUUGUCCUGUACAAUUGGCAAUUUAAUUAUGAUAUGUUUUGGAGAGGUUCUUUUUCUAGUCAUUUCUAUUUAGGAUUCCAACUUAUAUGUUCUUUUCUUUCCCAAAUUGUGGGAAAUUUUCUCUUUAUUGGAUUAACUUUCUAUGCCUCUGUUAUUCUUCUUCUACAGAUAUGCCCAUGAGCUAGAAUUUUGAUCUUUUAAUGAUGUCCUGAGAUCUCACAGGCUCUUUUCAUUCUUUGUUAUUUUUUAUUUAUUACUGUCUAAUUAAAAUAUUUUAAAAGACUUUUCUUCAAACUUCCCUUGAUCUAUUAUGUUUUUGAGGAUUUCAAUUGAGAUUUCUAUCUGACUUAUUGAAAUUUUCAUUCCAAGAUUUCUUUUUAGUUCUUUACAAAAUCUCCUUCUCUUCACUGAAGUUCCCAUUCAUUCCCCACAUUCUCUUUCUUGUAUCAUCCAAUUCUGUAUUUGCAUUCUCUUGGAUUUUACCAAGUGUUUUAAAAUCAUCUUUUGAAUUUGUUAUCUGACACUUUAUCCACUUAUUGAUAUCUUUGGAAUCUUUUCCAGAGAAUUAUGAGUUUCAUAUUACCUUGCUUUUUAUACUUCAUGUGUUUCUAUGUUGAGUUUUGUUCAACUGUUUGGAUAUAUUUCUCUUUAAUUUUUAUGCAAUAGCUUCUUGGUAUGCAGAUUUCUAUUGAUGAUAUGUCUUAGGGUUUGACUCAUUGAAUUUAUUUUCAACUAAACACCUUAGUUAAUCUCCCUGUAACUUCUUCAAUUGCAACUCAUGGGUUUUGACAAAGUAUUUUUCUUGUCAGAGUUGGAGAGACAUACUUUCUUUACAUGUCUUGCAAGAGUAAGGAAACUGGUAAUUCAGGGAAGUAUUAUGUAUGCAAAAGUAAUUAUGGGUUGCAUUCUCAAUAGUCGCUCCAAAAAUGGGAGAGGUAGCCACUAUCAUAUGUUGGAGGUUUCCCCAGGCAACUAUUGAUACAGAUUUUGUUACUUGAAAGUUAAUUUUUAAAAAUCAUUGUAUUUUUUUGUUUUGCAGUACUAAUGAUUAAACACAGAGCAUUACACAUGCUAAAGCAAGUGCUCUAUCUCUGAAUCUUAUCCUCAACCCACUUGAAGGCAAUUCUGAUAAUAGAUGCCCUACUUGUAGUGAUGGGCAUGAAGCUCUUGUUUUCUAAUUAUGCACUGGUAUAGCUCUAAGUGCUUCUCAAGAAGUAGGGCCAAAAUCACAACCCCUGUUAUGUGAUACUCUCCUUCAAUCUAAUCAGCAGCAUGUAGUUUGGAAAGUAAGACUGCAAUAGCUGUAGAGGACCCAGGUGCCUCUAUUCUGCCAUUUUGUGCUUCUCUCCAUCUUACUACUGUUAAAGCAACCAAUAUUAACUUUUAAAUAUGUGUACAUUAUAACUACAAAAAGAUUAAAUGUUUAGAAGGAUGAAUAUAGAUUGAAGGAAAAAAGAUAAUUUUAUAAAAACAGACGCUUCUCUACAUGAUGUUUUAAAUCCAUGAAAUGUGUCAUUGAAUAGAAAAAAAAAUGGAAAGGGAAUUGAACAUUUUGAUAUGGGUGGAGUGCCCAGUUGGAGUCCAGGUUCUAGGCAUCCCAAACAAAGAAUUGAACAAGACACAAAAAAGUAACAGACAGAGCAUUGAUUUAUUGAACGUGAAAGUAAUAGUAAAAUAGAGCAGAGGGGACCCAGUGAGAGAGAAUAUCAGGGCCCAUGUUUGGGCAGGCUUGUUUUAUAGUCUGAGCUGUGCCUCUGUCUCCUCCUUGCAGAACUGAUUGAAGACAUUUCCCUAUUUGUUUCCAAUGGUUAUUUUCAUCUAAUUGGAAUAUAGAACUUUUGGAAGGAGUUGGCAUGUCAAUGGAACUAUACAGACCUUUGGCAGGAGGUGGCAUGGUGAUAAGCUCUCUAUUGUGGGAGUUGACAUGGUAAUGAAACUUACCAUAAACAGAAUCAUGAUGACUCAUCUCCCUGUCUUGUUCUCUGGCUGGCAUUUUUCUUGCACCUAGUCUUUGCCAUCUUGAUGUCCUUAAACUCCUACCUCAACUUCAGACAAGUAUUUUUUCAUCACAAGAAAAUUAUUUGAGCUGUACAAAAAUUACCCUUUUGUAGACAAAAAAGAUUGGGAUAUUGACAGUUUUCUAUAGUUCAGUUUAAUUUUUGCCAAUAUUUCUUUAACAUUAAGGAAAAUAUGUGAAAAGAAGCAGUGAGCACCCAAGGCCACUUCCUAACUAUGUUUUAGUUUUGAUAGUAACUAUUAAGUCUCUAAAAUAAAAGAUGAAGAAUCAUUAGUUUGUUCCUUUAUUUAAAACCACAUUCUAAUCUAGAUGGUAUUGAAUGUACCUCUGUGAUAGUUUAUUAUGUUAUCAAGGUUUCUUUUCACUUUUUUUUUUUUUUUUAGGGAAACUUCAUAUGGAUUAAAUGCUUAGUACCAGCAGUUUUUUCUCCAUGACAUCCCUAUCUUGAGCCUUUUAUUUUGAUUCAUCUUGGGAAGGCUUGAUUUGGCAUCCUUGAUAAGGUCUGUCUUUUAUCUUUAUGGCUGAUUGGCAUGUUAGCUAGAUUUAUUUAGUGACUCAUAAUUUCUUUUCCUUUGAACUUGAUAGACAGUCCCUAUCUUCUGACCCUGGGUGUGGUGCUAAUUAGGUUUUUUUUUUUUUUUUUUGGUACUGGGGAUUGAGCUCAGGGGCACUUAACCACUGAGCCACAUCCCCAGCUGAAUUUUUAUUUAGAGACAGGGUCUCACUGAGUUGUUUAGUGCCUUACAGUUGCUGAGGCUGGCUUUGAACUCACAAUCCUCCUGCCUCAACUGCCUGAGAAUCUAGGACUAUAGAUGUGUACCACCCCACCCAGCCCUAAUUAGUUCUCAAUCAAGGUAUUUCCCCUUUAAAGUUUGUUUGGGCAAAUAUAACUAUCAGUUUUUUCUCUGUAGGUAGGGUUGCUGGUAGCUCUAUUACCUAAAAUUUUCCUGUUUGAAAAUGCCUGCUACCUUUAUAUUUGAAUUGCGAACCAGAUAAGGGUAGUGGCCUUGGGCCAUUUUAAACCUUGUGCAUACUCAUUUACCAUUUUCUGACUCUGAAUUCUUCUGUGAAGUAAUCUACAGACAACUUACUUUUUUCCCCCCCUUUUUAACCUACCCUCUGUCCUGAAUGUGACAGAUGUCUUUCCUGCCUCAGUGUUCACAGAAUUUUCUUCAGUAACUGGAGUAGGACUGAUUCAAUGUCAAUAAUUCAGCAUUUCUUAAAAUGGCAGCCUUCUCUUUCUAUCUUCAGAAUAAUUUUUUUUCAGAUAAAUUUUCUGCUUUUGUAUCUUUGAAUUGCUUUUCUGUCCCAUUUGGCUUUUUCCUGCUGAGAAACCUGUUUUGUUUUUUUAAUAUUGGAUCCUCUUUAAACAAUAUAUUAUAUUGUUAUAUAUAUUGUAUAGUUGUUUCAGCUAGUUUGUAUUUUCCUUUUUUAUUUACUGUGAUUUAUCUUAAGCUUGUGUUCUAUGUUAUGGCUUUACUUUUCACCUGACUGUAGUUCAUUCUUUACCAUUUGAUUUUUUUAAAAAAUUAUUCUCUAAAAGUGUUGCUUUAACUUUUUCUUUUGACAUUUUUGGUAACUUUUAAUUUUGAUAUAAUUUCAAGCUUAUAGGAAAUUUGCAAAAAUACAAGAAUAACACAAGAAAUUCUUAUAUAUGUAUAUUACUUUACCCUCUUCAAAACACACACACACACACACACACACACACGCACACACACUUAUUCUUCGGAACCAUUUGAGAGGAACUAAACAGUGUGACUCUAUCAGAAAAGAUUUCAGUGUGUAUUUACCCUAAACAAGAAAACCACUUACUAUAUAGUACAAUGAUCAAAAUAAGGAAAGUUAACAAAACAUGAUUUUUUAUUAGUGGUAUGUGUAGUUUUUUAAAUGAUGAUGUUUAUUACAGCUUAAUUUUUUUUCUGGCACAGGAUUUAAUCCAGGAAUAAAAGCCAUUUAAUUAUUUCCUUUUUGAUGCUUGGUGUAUACCAUUCAUUGCUUGAUAUUUGGGAUUAGUUUUGUUCUUUUUCAAAGGUUGAUGGUUGAUUUUCAGUCCUUGUUUUGUAGCAAAAAGACUUGGGAGGGGUUUUCUUAUGGUCCUAAUCUCCAUUUUCUACCAGCUUAGUCUUUAUUUAGUCAUCUUUUGCAUGCUUUGGAUUCUUGAUUCAGUUUAUUGGCAUAGGUAGUUGCUGUGCCAUUUCUUUGUAUCUUACUUGUCCAUGCUUAUUGUCAAUGGCUUUGCUCACAUCUUGUAUCUUUUCUGUUAACAAUGAGACAAAUCCCCCCUUGAAAUCCUCUGCCCUGGUACUGAUAUCAGUCUUUCUUGGAGCUACUGUUUAGGGUUGAGUCUUGCUUUAUUCUCUGUAUCCAGCCAGCUCAAAGCAUGGGGAGAAGAUAGGAUCAGGAAGCUCAGUCUCCUUUGUUGGAGCAUCUGGGCUUUGCUUUUCUUCAAUUUUAUUAAAUGUCAAAUAUCAUUUGACCUGGCUUCAAGUAUAUUCUGUCCCUAAGGGGAUGUUUGCAGGUUUAUAAUUCUUCUUGCUUUUCCUAAGAUCCUGUGGUGGGUGUUACAGAGACUUUAAAACUAUUUAAAACAUUUUCUCCUCACUUCUCUUCACUUUUCUCUGAAUUGGCUGUUAUUGGUGAGACUUUUCAGUUUUCUGAUGACUUGUGCUUUCCUAUUUAAUUUGGUGUCUCUGUACUGGGUGCAAAGACAGAGUGGAUAGGAAUAGUACUAAGCCACACCUCAGUAAAUCUUGUUUAUUUGCUUGACUAUCGCUUUUCAUACUUUAUUAUGUGAACUUGUAUCCAUGUUUCUGCUGUUGUUUGAUUGAUUUUAUGAAUUUAUUUUGAAUUUUUUGCUUUUUGUAUUGAUUUAACUAGUGGUUUAGGGAAGAAAGAUUCGUGAUCCUUCUUUACCUUCAUUUAUUUGCCUUUCUCUAAGUUACUAAAAAAUGAAUAUAAAUAUUCUGGGAGGUAAAUCUCACAUUAAAUGCCAGUUUUUAAUUGAAGCAUGUCAAAUCUGGACUGAAAAGGAUAACCAUAUAGUUUCAAUCAGAAAUUAAAGGGCUUUUUGGUUUCAUAAGUUUAUAAAUUCCUUUAUAAAAUACAUUAGUUGACAAACAGCAUUCUUCUUUUUUUACCAUUCCAGAUUUUCCUUUUUCCUUAUUAUUUUGGUUCAGAUGUGCGACACUAUUUUCCCUGUGGCCCUCACUUAUACUAAUAACAGUAAUAUUUUCACUGAAAACCCAUAACUUUUUAUAUAUGAAAGCAAGCACACCCAGAGCAGCCUGGGCCCCCCACCAGAGAUUUUCUUAAUAUCCAGCAGUAUUACACAAGCACACUCACACCCUAAACCCAGGGCUGGCUUUCUUUCCAUUGGGGAGUUGACUUUGGAUGAGCACACAGUUUUUGAAGAGGUUCACCUGAAGCUCUGAGGAAGAAAUGAUGACACAUUAGCUGAGUCAACCCAACAUUCAGUGAGGUGACAGAUGCUACUGUGUGAUGAAACCUCACUCUAGAAAAUUCACUGAUUCUGUACAAGGUCUUUGUACUCUGUUUAGCAUCAAUGUGCAGAAAAAUUCCAUCUUCAUUUCGCUACCCAGGAAGCAGUCUAGGAGAACUCCUUAGGACAUCUGGCUUCACACAUACCCAGCUACGCAUUUUGACCCUUCUGCAAAUGUGAAUGUGUUUCCAUCCCUGUGAAUGCUGCAUUGUUGUGAACAGCAGCCCUUCUAACUUGUUUUCUGUCAGCUCUAGGACACAUCCGCUUCCUUUUUCUAAACUCUAUGAAAUAACAAUUGUGCCAAGGAGCUGGGAGAAUAAAAGACAGAAAAUAACUACAUUUAAUAAUCUAUUUCUAUUUCUUUUAAUUCAGAUUGUUAUGGCUCUCAGAGAGCCAUUUCAGAAGUAGCUAGGGUAAGCAUAGGUGUGUGUGUGUGUGUGUGUGUGUGUGUGUGUGUGUGUAUACUUACACAUUGCCGAUCAACUUCCUGAUGAAUCGAGACACUGGAGACAGUAAACCAGGUUGAUUGAAAGCCCAGCUCAGGAUCAGGAAAUCUGGUUUUCAGACUUGAUCCCAUUACUUGCUAGCUUCAUGAUAUUGGGCAAAUUGCUUUCUUACUAUCUCUUUACCUCAGAUUCAGUGGAUGAAAUAUGUGUAAAAGUCGUGUUUAAGAAAAAUUGGUGAUCAAACAACAUUACAUAUGAAAUAUUACGUUUAGGAAAAUGUAUCUCCAUCUCCACAGUGCCUAAUUCACAGUAAGUUCUCAAAAAGCUGGUGAAACCAGUAGGUGGUACUUGCUCCAUACAACAAAUUUUAAUCAACUCUUAAAGCUGUUUCCAUUUAAAAACUAUGAUUUCUUAUGGGCUACUUUGAGGAUCAUGGUUAAUGUAUAGUUCAUGCCAUUUAUUAUCCCUUCCACAAGUGUAUAAAUAACACUAUGGUCACUUCCUUAAUGAGCUCAACUUAUCAGUAUAAUUUAUUUACUAAGGCACCUUGUUAAUUUUUGGACCUGAUGGACUGAAAAAAUUUGGAAAAUAUAAGAAAAUGUGCAUUAUGAAAAAGGAUCAGUAAUGAUAUACUUCAUAACAUUUACUUCUUUAAUAGUUAAAAAUGAUUCAUUUGUUUCAAACUCAUUCUGAGUUAUGGUUUAAGUAUUUGUGGACCUUAUAUUCCCACAGCAAUUUUAUGUUUGUCUAAGUUGCAGGUAGUUAACUGAACCAAGUAAUUAAAGAGAGGAAAGUACUUAUUCCUAAAGAAGACAUAAAAAGAAUCUACCUGAUAUCAGCAGAUGUAGCCAUUCUGUCCAUGAAAUAAAGCAAGGUAGCAAUGGCUUUUUGAGUCACUGGGGUCUCUGUUCAUAGGUCGAUCAUCAAGUAAUAUAUUAAGCUGUAAAACCCAAUAGAUUUUUAGUUAGCAAAUAAGCCAGAUAACCCUUGUGAAGACAGCUAGAUUAUAAUGAGCUACAAUGGCAGUCUUAUUGCUUUAGGGUGAUUUUUAAAUUACAGAAAAGAAAUUGAGUGCACACACAAGUGAAAAUCGGCAUAUUAAAAAAUUGGUAAAGGGAAUAUGGAUGAGUAAUAAUAACCACUAGUGAAUUUUAUAUGUUACACGUGUCACCUGUUCUUUAAUAGCUGCUCCAUGAAGCAGUUGAGGCAAGUGCUUAAUUUGUCUCUUUCAGGUUCAGUACCUGAGGCUCAGGGCAAUGUGGUAGCUUUACAUUGUCUCCCGUGCAUUUGCAGCAGAGGCAAGGUACAAACCCAGUCAAUCUGUCCCUGUGUCACAGGACAGUGAUCCAAAAUAAUGUGAAAUCCUCUCUUCAAAUUAAGGUUGUAACCACAUUAAAGGAAAUGGUGUGGACAGAGUGAAAGUGAAGGGGUGAAAAUACGGAAAGCAUAAGAAAAGGAGAGAUAAAGGCAAGACAUAGUCAGGGAAGGCUAGAGAUUGGGGCUGACACACUAGGAAUGGGACUCACAGGUAAUAGGGCACAUGUUCUUGUCUCCUAGUAAAUAUUGGUAUGGGGAUGUGUAGUAUUUUAAGAGAGUUAUUUUUUCUUCUUUUUCUUGUUCCUUGAUAAUAAAUAGCCUGAUUGUUUUCCAUUCUUCAAAAUUUUUAGUUGUUUUCGAUCCUUUUGUCCUUAUAUGUUCCUUUUUUAAAAUUCAGAUGAAUGUGUGCUUACCUAUGGAACAUAGUUUUAUGUGUUUUAAAUGAGUUUCAGAAAUGCACCCUGGAAUUCUCUUUACUGAGAUUUCCCUCUUUUGUUUAGUUGCUUAUUAUUGUGAUUAAGCGAUUUCUAAGAAUCAGAGAUAGGAAAAGUUUACUGUCAAUCCAUUCCCCAUCAACUGAAUUCUUAAAGUAAAUUUUUCAGUAUAGAUGUCAAUCCAGCCUUAGUUGGCCCUCUAUUAGAACAAUCAAGAUACUGAGAUUUUUGUAUAGUCGACUUAUAUGUUUAACACCAACUUGUAAUAGGGUUUUUGUAAACAGUUUUAAUUUUCUCUGUCUUGAUUUUUCCAUUUCUUAAAAUCAAGUGAUGUCAAAUUUGCUCCUGCUAACUUCACAAGGUAUUCUAAAACAUAAUUUUGAAAAUUAAUAAUUCAACAAGGCAGGCUCUUUCUAUUUGCACAAUAUGAAUUAGCUCUAUACUCAUUGAAUUAGAACUCAGACAUCUAAUAGAGUUUGAAUACCUGUCGUGCUGGAAUUCCUUAGAACCAAGCCUCACUGUGGGAUUUAGAAUUUUACCUAUUCCCAAACCUAAACUGAUUGCUCUUUUUUGGGAGCAGUCCCUUCAUUGGAGAAUAAAAACAUGCAUUGGGGCACUAUCUUGUUUCACCUUGUGGGAAACAGGAGAGAAAAACAAUACCUUGAAACUGAAAGCUUAGAUUCUAGAACACAGUGAUUUACAAUGUUGGUGACCUAAAAGAAUACAGAUCUAGUUCCAACUCUUCCUCUAUGCAUGUGUGACUUUCAAUAGGUUGUCACUUUUCUGUGGGCCCCCACUUUCCUAAUCUCUAAGUAAGGAUGUGAGUAGUUAGGUUGUUUCAAAAUGUUUAGUACAAGAAUCUUUUGGAUUUUUUCCCAAAUAUUAUUAUUAUAUAGAAUUUUAACUAGAUCAAAUAAAGCGGUCCUGAUUGUUUCUAUAAUGGUGGAGAUAGGAACUUCAUCAUCCUAAACCUACUGAAUUUAAACAUGUAUCACAAUUUGAAAGUCACAGGGGUGAAUAAUUUUAAGGACCCUUCCAUCUGUAAAUGUAUGGAGAUGUGUCUUUUAACAAGAGCAAUGUAAUUUAUUUACAUUCAGUUUGGAGAAUCUCUGCUUGCUCAAAAUUGUGAGUUACUACCUACCACAAAGAAAGAAAAAAAAAGAAUGAAGAAAAGAUAGAGAAGAAGGAAGGAAGGAAGAAAAUCUGCUGAGUCCAGUGUAUAAAGUGUGUAGCUUGGUGUUAGGGCUUCUGAUCAGGGGUGAACACUUGGCUCUUUGGUAAGAAUGAAGGAAAAAUAAUAACACCUAGCAAUUUUGAUAGCUUUCAAAAGCCAACUUAGUAAAACUUUAUGUACAAGUUAGAUGGCUUGUACAACUUAAUCAAUGUUGAAAAGGUAUUAAAGCCUUUUUAUUGCAGUGGUAUUUAUGUCUAUGUUUGAAUUUAUGAUAAUUUAUAUAAGGUAUAUUUGCUUAAACAUUUUAUUUAUUUAAUUUGUACUAUUUGUCCAUACUUCAGCUGAAUCAUAAGCCAGCUUGAUAAAAAGGCUUUGUCUCCUUCAAAUAUAAAUAGUUAUUUAUCCGAACAAAGCACAAAAGCAAAAAAAAAAAGAGCAACUUUGCCAAGGCUCACCUUUUAUUUAGAAGGUGGAGUGAAGCUUUUAUUUCUUAGAAGAAAAGAAUUCAUAAUGAAGUGUCUAACACGCAGGCAAGUCAAGGAGCUGCACGGUAUUCCAACUUUAUAGAUCAUUUCUUAUGAAAUUUUGUGAAUUCAUAGGACAUUUGACACAUUUCAUAAGCAUAAUAUACAUUUAAAAAAUCAAUAGGAUUAAGAUGACUUGAUACUCCUGCCCUAAUUUAUUUGGUUUUCUUUUCUUUUUUAUCUUUGUUACUUGUGCUAGGGAUUGAACCCAGGCCUGGCACAUUCUAAGAAUAAGGUCUGCCACUGAGCCACACCCCCAAAAACCACAUCCCCUGAUUUGGAAUCUCAGAUUAAACUUACCUCACACUCCAUCAGCUAAAAAACAUUAGAAAACUGAGGGAUGAUUAAAAAUCUGUGCUGAUCCUCUUUGUUCUGCUUGUAGUUUAUUCUGGGUAAACUUCCAGCACCAUAUGCUGAGCAUUUGUUUCUUGAAUUUAUGUGUUGACAAUGCAUGAAAUAAAAUAUUUCAGAUCCUUCAGAAAAGCUUUACAGCCUAACCUCAGAAGAGUUACCAGCCUUCAACAACCAUUCUCUGAGUAUAAGUCAGACUUCCACAGAAUCCCUUGGAAAGAGCUCACAGAUGUGGGAUCCCUGUGGAGUUGAAGAAUUAAGGUAAGUUAAUACUGCAAUUUGUAUAUAAAUAUAGUAAGUAGUAAAAUUUGGACAAGCCCCAACUUGUUAUCUUCAUAAAUAAAAAGUGCCUUCAUGUGUGUAAUUUAUAUGACCAUUCUUAGUAAAAUAUUUGCUUCCUUUGCUGAGCUCUUAUCAGGAUUUAGUAAAAGGCUUAUAAAGUUGUUACUUUCAUGUCAAAAGAUAGUUCUCUGCUGAACAAUGUGUAUCAUAAAAUUGGAGAGACAUCUGGAAUUUAGUAAUCCUUCAGCAUUUCAAUUUCUUAUAUUGAAAAAAAAAUUGUUCUACCCAAGUUAAUUAACUCCAUAAAUUUCAAUAUUUUGCAUCAGUAGAAUCUUACCUAAUGGAAGUAAAGUUUUUAGAAUAGAACAUUGUUAAGUUUCUUUCUUGAAAUGUAUUCUAAAUUAUUAAUGAUAGGAUGUUUUUAUUUGUAUCCUUUCUUUAUUUCCUCAUAUAAGGAAAUAAAAGUGAUGGUGAUAAGUUUAUAAGGACUAUAGUUUACACUAACAAAUUCUUCAUAAAAGAAGUUUAUCUUAUCAAUCUAUAAUUGAUAUAUUGGAAUUUUUGGAAAUGGAGCAUUGUUCCAUUUAGAAAGACUAAGAUAAGUACAAAAUAAAAGUCCCUUUGAAUUGAAAACUCCUUUGAUUGGUUUGAAGUUCAAAAUUGUAGUAAAGGGUUAUCGAAGUUGUUUACUCUUUCUCAAGGAGGAAAUCAAGAACCUUGGUUCUUGGAUUUUUGCAUUUUUUUACACUCUUGCAUUAAAAUAAAAGGAUCAAUUUGAGGUUACUAUUUUUCAUUAAAAAGAUCGUUAAAGCAAAGUAAACCUAUGUGUACACCCAUCAUCAUUUCAUAAAAGAAACGGCAUUUAAUACUAACAAUACAAGGGGACCAUAAAAACACAGUUCUUUGAAUCAAGAAUGUUAUGAAAAAGUCUUUACCUUUUCUUUAUAUUCUCUCUUCUUUGAUAAGUGAACAUUUUGUCACAGUUGCUCCUGUACUGGUUCACUGGCCAGAGUUUAUGAUCUGUUUAGCCUGUGUUGGACGUGAAAAUAAUAAUAAUGAUAAUAAAAACCGUUGUAUCCAUCACAGGGGGAAGUAUUUCCUAUUUGGAGGCAUAUAUAAGGAGAAAAUCUAGAUAACUUUGGAACAAAAUAUAUGCAAUAUGCUGAUCCUAAUCCUAAUAUAUCUAUGUGCUAAAGCUUCUGUCAGUCUCUGCCCCUCCCACAAUAAAAUGCAACCAAAUAAACUAACAUAUAAUUGCUUUCAUUAAUUUUGGUUUCGGCAUGUCUUGACUGGCUAUCCACAUAGUCCUAAUUUACUGUACACAAAAGAGGUGAUUUAUCUGGCAGUCUAUUCAUUGGAAUUCUAUUAAGCAGCCAAUGUAAUGAUGAAUGUUCUUAAUGAUGGCCCUGAGGCUCUGCAAGUUUCUGAGGUGCUUUCUGAAUCAUCAAUGAAAGACAACCAGAGACCAUAAAAUUAUCUCUCCUUGGUUCCAUUGUGGUUUUAUUUCUUGGGAGAGGGAGACUGAUGAGAAUUUCUCAUUAAAGCAAGGCUUGCUAAAUUGGGCACAUUGAAAAUUAUGGCCCCAAUCUGAUGCAAUCCCCUCAUAUCUGCUUGCUUUCAAUGACUUCAACACAUGUAGUAUUGAUCAGAAGAUAAAUGAAAGUUGAAACUAGGUUCUGUAUAUUGUGUAUUGAUUUUUUAAUGUAUUUCCAGCUCUUAUGGAAAAGAUACUGAAAUGCAAUCUUUGCUGCCACUUUCUGAGAGCAGUACAGAUGAGGAGGAAGAUUUCCUUGACAAGCAACAUGUCAUCACACUACCGUGGUCAAAGAGUAUUUAAUGGUCAUUUGUUCAUUACUUUUCCAUUUGUUACCCAGAAUAAAGCACACAACUAAAAAAAAAAAAAAAAAAGCAACUAAGUGAUUACCUGAUUACCUGUCCUGGUGCUGAAGAUUUUGAUUAUUAAUGUCUUUGAUGUUUCAAGGAUUGUAAACUAAUAAAAUUUAGUGAAGUUUUAACUUUAAAAUCUUUUACUCCCAAAUGAUAUAUGUCAAAUACCAAUCUCUAUUGCAGAUUAUAUUAGUAAAAUUUGGUAAAUUUUAAGAAAUAAUAGUGAUAAUUAUGUCUAUAAAAUUUACCAUAUGACAGAUAGGUUUAUAUUUAAGGUAAUAUUUAAAUAUUUUUAUUAUAUUUAAAGUAAUAUUUAAAUAUUCAGUUAAAUUUUAAGUAAUUGUCAUUAAAAAUAGAGUACAUUUGAUAAUCAUGUCAUAGUAGUCCAGGUCAUCAAUUGAGCCUGUAAUUGCAGUGCCUUUUUUCCCCCUUGAGUAUUUUUGACAUUUAUAGAAGUCUGGUAGCUUCAAAAAUUGAUGCUAGGAGGGAAAAAAGUUUAAAAAAAUAGAGAUAAAAAAAGACACAAAAUAAAGCUGACAUAUUUGUCAUACUUUUUUUUUUCCUAGUAAAUCACUGAAAACACCCUAAAGCAUCUUAUUUGGGUAAGGCCAAUGUUAUGGUUAGUUUCAUAUAUUAACUGGGCUAGUUUAUGGUACUAAACUAGCCCAGUUAAUAUAUGGGAUAUAUUAUUUUUUAAUUUUUUUUUGUUCAAACAUUAUCGUAGAUGUUUCUGUAAAGAUUUUUUUUGGAUGAGAUUAACAUAUAAGUAGACAUUGAUUAAAACUGAUUAUUCUCCACAAUGUGGAUGAGCUUUAUUCAAACAUUGUAUGAAUAUGUGAAACACCUGAGAUACUCUGAAGUUUAGGGAAUUCUGCCUUCACUUUGCCUUUGGGCAAAGAGAUGCAACAACAUUUCUCCUCUGGAUCUUUAGCCUGACAUCCUGCCUUACAAAUUUUGGACUUGCUAGUGCCUUAAUUGUGUGAGCCAAUUUCUUAGAAUGGAUCUCUCUUUCUCCAUAAUACCCCUUACCCACACAAAUUCACUGCAGGUUCUUUGUGUGGAGAAUGCUAAUCUAGGCAGCUUGAAGGACCUCCAGAAGUCAGGUUUUAUAUAACUGUAAGCAAAAUAUCCAACCAUAAAAAUUUAGAGGAGGAAAAGCUUAUUCAGGACUCAUGGUGUCAGAAGUCUCAGUUCAUACAUGGCCAGCUUCAUUGCUCUGGGUCCAAGCUGAGGCAGCACAUCACUACAGAAGGGUCCAGCAGAGGAAAGCAGCUCAGUUCAUGGCAGGUUCAAGAAGCAGAGAGGGGAGGGAGAAGUGGGUACAGGGCAGAUGCAGUCUUCUAGGGCAUGUCCUUAGUGACCCACCUCCUCCAGCCAGACCUCAUCUGCCUACAGUUACCUACCAGUCAGUCAGUUCAUACUGGAACAACCUGAUUAGAUUACAGCACUCCCAAUCCAAUCAUUUCACUUCUGAAUAUAACUGCAUUAAUGUAGGAGUUUGGGGGUAUACCGCCUAUGCAAAGCAUAACAUAGUCAAAGGAAAUUAACCCAUCGGAAUCGUUUUAUUGGUCAUGCUGAGUAGCAGAGGGUGGGGUUCAGGUUUCACUUAAGGAAGAACAAAAAAGCACAAGAGAAUUCAUGUGGGAUAAUUUUGUGGUUGUAACCUUGGGCCAUUUUAAGAUAGUUUUCCCUUGUGAAAUUUGUUGACAUCAGAAAAAAUAUUCUGAAGGCUGGCUGUGUACUUUCACCAAAACAGCCAUGUCUCAGGGUUCAAACUCUUUUUGUCAUCUAUGUGUUUCUGAGCAGUAACCCAUUAUACAAGACAGAUGACCGUUCAUGAAAAUUUAUCUUUGAUACUUUUCUCGUGGCAUCAAUAAAUUGCACUGGAACCUGAACCUAUCACUUACUGACAGGUUAGACAAUGAUGAGACUUACAGCUGUUUCUAUGUCUUUUACUAUAACAGUCCCCUUUAUUGAACAUGAUAUAAGUGGAUAAUAAGCAAAAGCAAGCUAGUCAUAUUGUUAGAAUAAAAUGUUGCAAAAAACAAGUGUCUUCAGAAAGACUGUGACUCCUAAAGUAACUUUUACUUUCCUCAUGACACUUCCUCUAUCACAAUCCCCUAGACACAACAGUGAGUCACUCUUGAAUCUUCACCACCUGUAUGAAAAGCCCUCCUGGCAUCUCAUCCCGAGGCUGCUGGCUCUCUGAGUUUCAGUAUCUGUGGUUAAAGGGGGUUGAAUGUUCAUCUUUUAAUAUAGGAAAAGUGUUUUUUUUUUCCUUUUACUGUAUCUGCUCAGGUUUUAAAUUUCUUGACUUCUCGGUUGCUCUGAGACAACCUUUGUUUCUUUUCUCAAGAAGGAGCAAAUUGUUCCUUGAAAUGCCAUUUGUAAAACUCAAGUGCUUUUCUCAAUGUGAAGGAAGUGUUGUCUUAUUUUUGUUAGAGAACAAUUGGACCACUAUGAUUCCUUCUAUGUAUUCAGCCACAGCUUCUAUCUUUUAUGAACUGGCUCAGAAGAUUUUAUAUGAUGUCACUAUCUUUUACAAUAUAAGAAUGUUGAAAUGAAUAUUAAGCUGAUGAUUAAUCAGCAUUAAUGCAUCUCUGGCCAAAAUCUGAGGUAAGAAAAGUGCCAUACAGACUUUCUAAUUUAACUUCCAAUACAAUAUUGAAAUUAUACAUGAGGGUCCUCUAUGGCAGAGAAGAGAGCAGACUUCCUCUCCUUUUGUUUGAUUCCCAUAACCACACAUUUAGGAAAGUUCCUUAAUUCCAUUGCUAUUAGUCUAAUGAGGAAUUAAAAACUAAAUAAGAUUAGAGCCUUUGCCUGAAGCAGCUUUGAUGUGUUCUCUCAUUUUGGAGUUUGAGCUUAAAAUUGCUGUUAAAGGCCUACACCUAACUCUGACUAUGGAACUGAAAGAGAGAUUGAUAUUCCAGAAGAAUGCUAACCAUAUUUCUAAUACUGUAGUUAAUACAGUGGACCUGUAAAAACUAUUAUAUAACUACAUGAAUUUAUAAAUAUGUUGAUAUUUGGAAGUUUGAACCCAGAUUCUCCUAAUUUUCUAUUAGCCAUAUUAAAUUCCAUAAUUUUACAGCUAUGUAUAUCCAUACAAUGGAGACAAAUGUUAUUAUGUUGCAUUUGGUGGUUUGAGUAUAGUGUUUGAUAUCCAUUGAAGCCAUUCACGUCUACUGCACUCUAGGGGACGCAACACAGGUCAGUUUUUUCCUGAUGCCCUUAAGAUUGUUUCACAAUGUACCAGAUAUGUGAGGUUCACAGACAGCAUUCUUCAAUGAAUAAGUGUUUAAAAAUGACUUAACCUCUGUAAUAAGACACUCAGAUAUUUUAAACGCUGCACUGAUUCAGAAAAAGCAGUUCCUUCUGUCUCUGAUUCAGUUUUUGGAAAGAUUUUAAACAAUGCUCAUGUCAUCCAGGUUUUGACACUUGCUAUUUCUGAUCUUUUAGGUUUCAAAAUAUACCUUGUAAAAGAACUUUCUCUAAUCUCUAUGCAAACUGAUUUCCCUUGUCCUUUUAUUCUUUCUUUAUCACUUAUCAAUACAGUUGUGUGCUUUUCAAGAUAUUAUGACUACGUUAAAAAUUUCAGCAUAGCACUACUGUGUCCAUUUAGUUCACCACUGUGCAUAGCCCCACCCAAUGCCUAACUCAGAUUAGAAGGUGAAUGAAUUUGCAGGAUUCAAGUGAUAAGCCUUUUCAGUCCCCAACUUUGCCAAGGGAGACAAUAUCAUAUAUAUAGUGAGAGAAAUGUGGGAUCUAUCUCAGGUUGCUAUUGAUUUUGUGAGAAUAAGAUGAAGUUAGGAAUGCAAAAACACGUUGGAGCCAGAAAAGGCUGUGCCAUGCUAAUUAUUAUCACUUUUCAUGAGUUUAUGCCAUAAUUUUUGAGUAUAUGGAUGAAUUAAGGGUGGAUUGGUAUGUGAAUUUAGGGUCACAUAGACAUAAAUAAUGGACAAAGCCCACUGAACAUCAAAAAUGGGAAGUGCUCUCUCAGUGAACUGAAUAAUUAGACUGAAUGAUGCAUAAUGCCAGUGUUUACAUUAAAAGCUAGAUACUUAAAAUUGUUCUAUUGAAAUUAUUUCUGAAACAUUGAUACAUACACCCAUAACUUUCUUCUACUGUAUAUAUUAUAAGCUUUUAAAUACUAAAAUUUUUCUAACACUUUAUAAACAUUCUUUACAUCAUACUUCCAGAGAAAAGUCAAAACAUACUAUUUAUACAUUCCCAAAUCUGUUUUUAUAGGAUAUUCUGUUUCAUCAUAAUUUUUAUCCCUAGUUAUUUAUUACUAGCCACAUUUGCAUGAAAACAAUGUUUAUUUCCUUUGAGUUCAUCUGUGCCUGUAGUUUAUCCCCUACCUAAAGUCAUAAUUCUUUGUUAGUGACACCCUGAUUGUUCACUGGGUAAAUGAUUAUGAUGUUGCAAACAAGAUUAUGAUUUGAGCUGGGGAAUAACCAGCAGGCAUAGAUGAACUCUCAGGAAAUAAAGAUCCUCCUCUUUUAACACAAGUGCCUUCCAUAUUUAAGGCAAAGGAGAAGAUAUUCUCAGCAUUCUCCAUAAGAAGGUGACAGUUAUGUUUAAAAUGUGAAGAAUUAAUUGAUUGAUAAUGUUUCUUCUUCAAAUGCAUAUAGAACACAGUAACAGUAAUAGAGACAUAGUUUUGAAAGGAGUCUUUUUGCUCUUCUGCUACAAGGAAGCAAUAUGUGUAUUAUUUUCUAUCCAGAAAAAAAAUACACUUAUUCCAGAUACAAAUGUUUAUAACGAUUUCCAAAGGAGGAAUUAGUCUUCAUCCCUAUUUUACAAUUAAUUAAACCUUAUAUAGUCAACAUAAAUGUGAAAGAAAUGUUUUGCGGUAAAUUUUUAUAUAAUUUCACCUUUUUUACUUACUUGUCUGUUUUUAUAAGAUGCUAUUUUGUUGUUCACUCAAAUGAUAAUGGUGUUCCCAAAUAGAUCUGUACUUUAAAAAGAAGACCUGGAAACACAGGCAGGAGAUGAAGAUACAGGUUUUAUUUUUUAGAAGUAUUCAGGGCAUUUAUUUUCUACUCUGACUACCUAUGUCAUAGCCCUAGAAGAAUAUCUCUUAGGUUAGGCUAUUGAAUCAGGUAGGAUUUGGUUUAAUUUUAUUUAAAAACACCCAGUAAAAGUGUAAUAAAAUAAGUUUAUUUCCCUUUUAUGGAAAUGGAGUCUGGUAGGCAGUCAGGGGCUACUAAGGCAACUACCUGGAACUAUUCUGUUCCACCCUCAAGGUCACCUCACCAUCCCAGUUGGUUAGAGGUGUCUAGCCAUCAUAAUCUGAGAUCCAGCUUUUAGAAGGGAGAAAUGAAAGAACCAAUUAGGCAUCUUCCUCACUGAGGCUUCUCUUCCUGCAAGUCUUACUUAACAUUUCUGCUUGCAUAUUUCAGCCAGAACAUAGCCAUAUUUAGAUGCAAGAGAAUCAGAAAUGUGGUUGAAUAUGUGGGUACAUUGCUGCCCUGAUAAAAUUACGGUUGUGUUCAGAGGGAAGAUGAGAAGAGAGAACACAGAAGGCAACUGUGUUUUUUUUUAAUUUUUAAAAAUUCUCUAAUAUUAUCCUCAUUACUGACCUACAGUUGAUUGUUUUCUUCAUAUAUGGAUUUUGUAGCUAAUGUUUGUAAUAAGUGGUAGAAACCAAUAUUUGGAGAUUUAAAUAAGUCACAUUUGGAGGCACUACAAUACUUAAAUAAUUCAAUUUCUUACGUAAUCCGUACCUAUAGUUCAUGUUUUUAUGCCUCCACAAAGGCAUACUAUACACAAACAGAGAGCUCAUCAUUAUUCAGCUUCAAGUUUUCACCUUAGGACUUCUUGAAACACAUUCCACAUCUCUUUAAAGUUCAGACUUUGGGCUAAUGCCCAAAUCCAAUCUGCUUUGGCAAAGAUUUGCAAUGCACUGUGCUAAAAUGCUAUGAUCUGAAAUAUUGUUUCAAAUGAGUGUUCUAAUAUUAGGAGUUCAGAAAACUAUGAUAUCAUAAAUUUCACAAUUUAAAAUAAUAUGUAAAAGAAAAUCCUAUGUUGGAAUUUAGUACACUAGAGCCAAAGAUUUGAGGUGGUCCCACAGAUAAAAGUCUCACUACUUUGUUCCCAUGGAGCAAGAUUUAAAUCCUUUACAUUCAAUAUAUAUGUACAAUAAGAUUGUGUUCAAACUGAGUUCUGGGGGGGAUAGGCUAUCUUGAUUUGGAGAGGAUAAUUAAGAACAACAAGUAUGUGUUUGCUGGGAUAUAUUUUAUAUAAAGAAUUAUAAGUAAGAUUGAAGAAAGACUAUGAAUCCCAAAUUUUGAGAUCCAUGGUUAGAGUUUUUUGAAGAUCUCUGGGCCCCAAUCUCAUGGUGAUCAUCUGGGAUGUAUGUUGUCACAAGUUUUAAGAUAUGUGGCUGAAUUUAUAUCCUUCUGCUAUAAAACCAGACUCUAGAGGACCAUGGGUAGAAGAUAGUUCUUCACUGAAAUCCAUUCAAAUAUCACUAAGUGCCUAUAUCACUUCACUGACUUCAAGUUAGAUUUUUUUCUUCAAAUAUGUGUGUGUGUGUGUGUGUGUGUGUAUUACUCAAGAUAUUGAGAGUAAAAUCAAUUUAUUUUAGCAAUAAAUAAAAGUCUCUGAAAAUCUAAGAAUAAGAACUAUUAAAAAGUUGGUUUCAAGCUGGAACCUGAGUCAGUUCUCCCUUGGGGUGAUCAUAGAUGCUCACCAGCACUUUUCUUGGUCAGGUAGCUGUAUUUUUCUCAACUGACAGGCUUCUUAUACUUACUCUUGCUUUCUGCCCAUGCUCAAGGAUUUAACUUAUCUGGGUACAUUCAGUUCUCUCAUUCUACUUUAUAGCUCCUCUAAGAUAGCUACUUAAUCUGCUGAAUCAGUUUUUCAAUUCGUAAUCCAAAGGGAGAAGUUGUAUUGGUGAGGCUUGGGUGUUUUCAAACUAAGACAAUAUGGUAGUCUAAGAACCCAAAGUUGGUUAAAUCCAAAUUGUUGCCAGACCAUGGCAGAGGGAGGGGAGAAACAUGGCCUCUACAACAUAAAAAGCCGAGAAUUAUGAGUUAAGACAGUCUUGAAAAAGUGAAGUGGUUUUGAUAAGCCAUAAGUGUCUCUUAAAGGAUUUUCUGGGAAGUCAUUCAAUAUCAAAGGUGGAGGUUUUCAGGAGAGAUUUCUGAGUAACAUGAGGAUGUAAGGAGGAGGGUCAUGGGGAAACAGGUAUUAAAUGAUGGCAACGAGUCAGUCUUAUUCUGUCUGUGUCAUAAUUGUAUAGAUAGUACCUCUUGUCUCAAUGUAAUCUCAUCAGCCUAAGACGACGGCAGUGUUAAUAGAUCUGGUCAAGGCCAACUUCUCACACAGGAUUCAGGUGUCAAUUUCACUCCAUUCUCAAAGAGCCAUAGCUGCAAAUCAGUAACCUGAAGCUUCAUUUUAAUUUUGUUCUCUAUGUCCUCAUCAUAGACAUUUCUUCAUUUCCAGGACUGAUCUACUUGACAAGCUAUGAAGUGAAAUUUCACACUGAAUUGCCCUCUGGGCAGUACUCUGUGGAGGUCCCAGCAGACUUUCCCAGGUGACAUUACAAAUGUAGCAGGUGCCUUCCCUCAGCUAGUCUGGUAUGCAGGGCCAGAUGAUUCUGGGGGGAGCUCAAGCCUGUCUCACACAGAUUCCCUUUUAUUGAUUCUUGAAAUAGCCCCAUUUUCUUCUUUAUAGAGGAAGAACUAAACCCCAAGCAGAUGCUUGUGAUUAAAGUCAGAGAUAAUGAUAGUAGAACUUUUACCAAGGAUGUGUCUCCUCCUGCUAUCAGAUAAAUGCCAAGGUGAAAACAAGCCAUUUAUCUGCAAAUAAACAUUGUGCUGGGGAUAAAUGCUUUAUUUUCCAAGUUUGAAGCAAUUAUGCUUUGACAGCAUCACUCCUUUCAAGAUUUUAGGUUUAUUAUAACAUCAUUAAAAACACAUUUAGUUGGUAUUAGUAAAACACAGUUCAUUGCACUGUUAUAUAAAAGACAGUUUUGACAUAAAACUAGUAAAAAGGCAGUCUUCAACUUAAUUGUCAAUAUUUCUAAAAAUAUAUUCUAUCAUUUCAUGCUUUAAAGUAUUUGAUUCACCGAAACAACUUUGAAUGAAUGAAAUUUUAUUUUCUUGUAUGAAGAAGAACGAGAGACUAUAAUUAUACCUCAUGGCAAAUUUUUCAUUAUAUGGUAUUUAUCUGUAAUGUAGAAAAUGCCUUUAUUAUUAAAAUUAAAUCAGGAGAUGUUAUUUUACUUUAUUCUACAAUACCAGUCACAAGUGUUAUCUCAGAAGAAUAAAAGUGUUUUACAAUUUUUUGUUAAAGAAUCUCAACUGUACAAAGUUUAAAUUCAAGUUAAACAUCCUUUCUUGGAAGGACUACACUUUAGAAUAUGCCUCACAGAUUUGGGGUGAUUCAUUUAUAAAGCAAACAUAAUUCCUACUAAUGUUCAGUCUAAAAUAUCCUUCUUAGAGAAGGGACAGCAUGCAGCCAUAACUUGCACAAAAUAGCUUUUCUGAGUCCGCAUCCUCUUUAUGUUCUUCUCACAAUCUUUUUUUUUUUCUUCUCCUUUACUAGUAAAAUUCCUCAGUAAAUUACUCUGCAUGUUUUUGUUCUCUCAUCUUCUGAGUUCUCUUGGAUCCAUUCAAAUUAGGCUCUUGUUCCAACCACUUGAUUGUAAUGUUCCUGUCAACAAUGACCUCCAAAUUUCUAUGACAUCAUCAAAGGCUCUCAGCAUCAUUUGAUCUCAUUGACCUGUUAUCUUUGAAACUGUGCUUCAUAUUUCAUUAGGGCACUAUGUUCUCAUGAUUUCCUUUUCACUCACUUUAUUGCUCCCUUACAGUGUUGUCUGAAAGUUCUUAUUUCACCAGCCCUGGAAUUUUGGUAUGCUUACAGCAGAGUCUUUGCCCUUUAUAUAUAUCUAAGUUCUCUCUAGAUGCUCCUACCCAACCCCAAAUGCAUAAUUUUACCUUAAACAUCACUACUGAACUUUGGAUUUUCAAAACAAUUGAGAUUUUCAUUCUCGAAUUGGCUUCUCUUUGAGUUCCCAUUUGUUAAAUAACAAUGUUAUUCAUAUAAUUGUUCAGGCCAAGAAAUCUAGGAAUUAUCUCAUUUUCUCACAUGCAUUAGUGAGUCUUUAACUCAGUCUUAAAAUAUGCCUCCAUCACUCCCAUGUAAAUCAUUUCAUUCCUGACCCAACAUCUUUAUAAAACACCCCGAAUUAUCAACUAAACAUUAGCUCACAUUCCUCCCUACUGCUAACAAGGCUCAAGGCAAUGUAAAAAUUAUUUAUUUUUUAAUGAAAUACAUUUUUAAAAAUAAGACUAUGAAUAACAUCUAAUAAAGCUCUAUUCAGAUAUUUUAUUAAGAAAACCCUAAGUUCAUUCCUAGCACCAAAAUUUAGAUCUACUCCUUAAAUCAGUAGUAAAUUUUUUUGAAAGCUCAUUGCAGUGGGAAAUAACGUUGCAUUAUUCUUAGAAUUGAAGCUAACUUUUUUCCCAGUGGCCACCAAGGUCCUACAUGAUCAAGUCCCUACAAACUCUGGGGUCUCAUCCUCUCUAAUCUAAACUCACCCUUCUCUGAACUCAAUGGUCUAGUUUAUGUUGCUUAAAUUUAUGAUGUUUCUAAUUUUCAGGAACUUCAUAUUCACUCUUCUUUCUUUAAUAUUGUCCCCCUAGAUCCUUGCAUGGAUUCUCCUUUACAUUGUUCAGAUCUUAAAUAUUUUUCAGAGUUCUUCACAUGCCACCAUGUAUUAAGGAAUCAUUUUUCUCUGUAUUGUGUUAUUUUUUUAACCAUAUUACUUCAGAAAACAUUUCCUGUAGGAUGAGUGUCCUCCACUAGAAUAUAAUCUUUUUCUUUUACGGUACUGGGGAUGGAAUCCCAGACCUCAUGCAUGCAAGGCAAGUCCAUGACCCCUGAGCUACAUUCUCAGUGAAUAUUAAGUUCUUGAUGGGUCAGGCUUUCUUGUUCAUGAGUAUGUACCAGUGUGUGUCUGGCACAGAGAAGAUGUUUAGUAACUAUUCUAUUAAUAAAGAAAUUUUUUUUUCUUUGCAAAGAUCUGUAGAGAGAAAAGUUUACAGACAAGCUUUCCUCAGUAACUUCAUAACCUAUACUAAGCAGCUACAACAUGUUAACAUUUCUCAUGAACCUCACAACAACUCCAUAAGAAAGAUACAACUAUUAGUUCCCAUAUUACAUAUGAAGAAAUUGAGGCUGAAAAUUGUUAAAUAAUGUUCCAAUGUUACCAAGUCAGUAAGCANCAAUAAUUUUAUGAGACACUUCAUUUAUACUAAU